rnacentral:pre_miRNA from 1 species
CAACUACUCCCUCUGUCCCAAAUUUCUUGUCUUAGAUUUGUCUAGAUACGGAUGUAUCUAAUACUAAAAUGUGACUUGAUACAUCCGUAUCUAGACAAAUCUAAGACAAGAAUUUUGGGACGGAGGGAUUACUUU